AACCCUUGGGCAACUGAGGGGGAAAGUGGCGAAAGGGGCAGUAAAGUAUGGGUAACCUACCCUGGGGACCGGGAUAGCCUUCCUAACGGAUGGGUAAUACCGGGCGAUCUGGCGAGGGCGCAUGUCCUUGCCAGGAAAUGAAUUUCGCCUCGGGAGGGGCUCAUAUAGUAUUAGCUUGUUGGUGGGGUAACGGCCUACCAAGGCAAAGAUGCUUAGCGGGUGUGAGAGCACGACCCGCGCCACUGGCACUGAGACACUGGCCAGACUCCUACGGGAGGCUGCAGUCGAGGAUCUUCGGCAAUGGGCGCAAGCCUGACCGAGCGACGCCGCGUGUGCGAUGAAGGCCUUCGGGUUGUAAAGCAUUGUCGAGGGGGAGGAAAGCCGCAAGGUCUGACCUAUCCCUGGAGGAAGCACGGGCUAAGUUCGUGCCAGCAGCCGCGGUAAGACGAACCGUGCGAACGUUGUUCGGAAUCACUGGGCUUAAAGGGCGCGUAGGCGGUCNAUCAAGUCUGGGGUGAAAUCUUUCGGCUUAACCGGAAAAGUGCCUUGGAUACUGAUCGGCUGGAGGGAGGUAGGGGCAGUUGGAACUUCCAGUGGAGCGGUGAAAUGCGUUGAUAUUGGAAGGAACGCCGGUGGCGAAAGCGAGCUGCUGGACCUCUUCUGACGCUGAUGCGCGAAAGCUAGGGGAGCAAACGGGAUUAGAUACCCCGGUAGUCCUAGCCCUAAACGAUGGGUACUAGGUAGUGGACUUAACAUGGGUUCACUGCCGAAGCAAAAGUGUUAAGUACCCCCCCUGGGGAGUAUGGUCGCAAGGCUGAAACUC
rnacentral:rRNA from 1 species